UAGGGAAUUUUCCACAAUGGACGAAAGUCUGAUGGAGCAACGCCGCGUGCAGGAUGAAGGGUUUCGGCUCGUAAACUGCUUUUGUCUGUGACGAUUAUGACGGUAGCAGACGAAUAAGGAUCGGCUAACUCCGUGCCAGCAGCCGCGGUCAUACGGAGGAUCCAAGCGUUAUCCGGAAUUACUGGGCGUAAAGAGUUGCGUAGGUGGCAUUGUAAGUUUGUAGUGAAAGCGUGGGGCUCAACCCCAUAUC
rnacentral:rRNA from 1 species